rnacentral:rRNA from 1 species
CGUAGGUGGCAAGCGUUAUCCGGGAAUUAUUGGGCGUAAAGCGCGCGUAGGCGGUUUUUAAGUCUGAUGUGAAAGCCCACGGCUCAACCGUGGAGGGUCAUUGGAAACUGAAAACUUGAGUGCAGAAGAGGAAAGUGGAAUUCCAUGUGUAGCGGUGAAAUGCGCAGAGAUAUGGAGGAACACCAGUGGCGAAGGCGACUUUCUGGUCUGUAACUGACGCUGAUGUGCGAAAGCGUGGGGAUCAAACAGGAUU